CUGCAGCUCAAGUGGUGACCGCUAUUAUUGGGCCUAAAGCGUCCGUAGCCGGUUCUAUAAGUCUUUUGUGAAAUCGUUGCGCCUAACGUAACGUUGUGCAAGAGAUACUGUAGGACUUGGAAUUGGGAAGAGUCAGAGGUAUUCUGGGGGGAGCGGUAAAAUGCUAUAAUCCUCAGAGGACCACCAGUGGCGAAAGCGUCUGACUAGAACAACUUCGACGGUGAGGGACGAAAGCCAGGGGAGCAAAACGGAUUAGAGACCCGAGUAGUC
rnacentral:rRNA from 1 species